AACGAACGCUGGCGGCAUGCCUAACACAUGCAAGUCGAGCGCCUGUAGCGAUACGGGAGCGGCGCACGGGUGAGUAACGCGUGGGAACCUGCCCUUAGGUUCGGGACAACCGCGGGAAACUGCGGCUGAUACCGGAUGAAGUCCCCGAUAGAGAUAUUGGGGCCCAAAGAUUUAUCGCCUUUGGAGGGGCCCGCGUCGGAUUAGGUAGUUGGUGGGGUAACGGCUCACCAAGCCUGUGAUCCGUAGCUGGUCUGAGAGGAUGAUCAGCCACACUGGGACUGUGACACGGCCCAGACUCGUACGGGAGGCAGCAGUGGGGAGUAUUGGACAAUGGGGGCAACCCUGAUCCAGCAAUGCCGCGUGGGUGAUGAAGGCCUUCGGGUUGUAAAGCCCUUUCGGCGGGGACGAUGAUGACGGUACCCGCAGAAGAAGCCCCGGCUAACUUCGUGCCAGCCGCCGCGGUAAGAC
rnacentral:rRNA from 1 species